UAGAACAAUCUGGUGGUCAUGGCUCCUGGUUGGAGGCAUUCCUUUAGGUUCUUCAAAGACAUCCUUGUAUUGAUCUAGCACCUGUCUGACUUCAGCAGGUAUCUGUUCUGCCCCUUCUUCCUCUUUUAUUGCCACCAGUUGUGCUACCACCCCAUAUGACUGUUUCUUCAUCCACUUGUCUAACCUGGCUCCCUUGGUCAUCUUUAAUCUGGUGUUGGUAUCCUCCCCUUUCAAAACUACCUCCUGCUUCCCCUUGUGGAUUAUCAUGCUGAGCUCCUGGAAAUUGAAUUCUAUGGGACUGUGCUUGGCCAACCAAUCCACUCCAAGGAUUAUGUCACAGCCUCCCAAUCUUAAGGUGUUAAAGGCC
rnacentral:lncRNA from 1 species